rnacentral:rRNA from 1 species
CCUACGGGAGGCUGCAGUAGGGAAUAUUGCGCAAUGGGGGAAACCCUGACGCAGCAACGCCGCGUGGAGGAUGAAGGUUUUCGGAUUGUAAACUCCUUUUGUUAGAGAAGAUAAUGACGGUAUCCCACGAAUAAGAACCGGCUCACUCCGUGCCCGCAGCCGCGGUAAUACGGAGGGUGCAAGAGUUACUCGGAAUUACUGGGCGUAAAGGGCGCGUAGGCGGGAUAACAAGUCAGAUGUGAAAACCUGGGGCUUAACCAUAGAACUGCAUUUGAAACCGUUGGUCUAGAGUAUCGGAGAGGUAGGUGGAAUUCUUAGUGUAGGGGUGAAAUGCGUAGAGAUUAGGAGGAAUACUAGUGGCGAAGGCGGCCUGCUAGAACAUAACUGACGGUGAGGCGCGAAAGCGUGGGGAGCAAACAGGAUUAGAUACCCUAGUAGUC